CAAAAUAUCAAGCGAUAGCGCAGGGCUCUCAAACACUUUGACGAAUAACGAUAAAUGACUGACAAGCAAUCGAUGCGUCGCUGUUAUUCAGCACAUUGAUCUGUAGAGAUUGUGUUUACGUAACGCCGGUGGCGUUGAAGUUCUCACGCGGACGCCAAACACUUUUUUUUUAGAGUUGCCAAGUAUGUGCCACUGCAGUCCAUGCUGCAGUCAUCAUGGGCUGCCACUGAUGACACCAAUGCCUGCUGGUACAGCAGCGUUUCUUUGCUGUUCCACUGCAUCCACAUGCUGCUGCCAGUCCAAACUGCUGUCAUUAUCACUGCUCCUGCCUGAUAAUGAUGCAGCCAUUGGGUCAUACGAAUAAAACAGAAAAUAUGCUUAUGCUUCUCUUGAGAAUGUUCUCACAGUAUGAAUAAAAUUGUGGGG